rnacentral:lncRNA from 1 species
UUUGGCAAUCCCCUCUCCAUUGUGAGUUGUUUGGCAGAAAAAAGAAUAGGUUCGAUUCACCUAAAAGCAGGAGGAGCGUGUAUGGGUUGCCAUGUUGUAGGCAGACCUUCCUGUACUGUGUUUGGAAAUCCUACUUUGGCUGUACCUACAAUUUACUGUACGCCUUGAUUUCCCUCCCUUGGUGAUUCACAUCUGGGAAGCCCACCUAUUUGGGUAGGUGAUAAUGACUCUGGUAUCAGCAUUACUGUGUUCUAGAAAUCAGUUUUGCCAUAGUGUGGCUGUUAUGGU